rnacentral:rRNA from 1 species
AGCGAACGCUGGCGGCAGGCCUAACACAUGCAAGUCGAACGAACUCUUCGGAGUUAGUGGCGGACGGGUGAGUAACCCGUUGGAACGUGCCUUUUGGUUUGGCAUAACUCAGGGAAUCUCGUGCUAAUACCGAAUGUGCCCUUCGGGGGGACGUUUUAUCGCCAUUAGAGCGGCCGGCGUCGUAUUACCUAGUUGGUGAGCUAACGCCGCACCACGGCGACGAUCAGUAGCUGGUCUGAGAGGAUGAGCAGCCACACUGGGACUGAGACACGGCCCAGACUACUGCGGGAGGCAGCAGUGGGGAAUCUUGCGCAAUGGGCGGAAUCCUGACGCAGCCAUGCCUCGAGAAUGAUGAAGGUCUGAGGAUUGUAAAGUUCUUUCACCGGGGACGAUAAUGACGGUACCCGGAGAAGAAGCCCCGGCUAACUUCGUG